UCAUCUCCAUAAUCUCAACUCUCACAUCGAUGAUGAACGUAGUGAAAUGCGAUACGGGGUGUGAAUUGCAAAAUCCUACAAAUCUUUGAACGCAAGUUGCGCCCGGCGCCACUCGGCCGAGGGAACGCAUGCCUAGACGUCA
rnacentral:rRNA from 3 species